rnacentral:lncRNA from 1 species
UCUCCCAUUUUCUACCGCGACAGCAUUGUAGCGAUAGGGGACCGCCUUUUCAGAAGAGUAUGGUACUGGUCCGGCUGGCUUGAUGGUUAAUGCGGGAGAAACCUUCUGCUUGCUACCAUCAUACUUGAUGAUAACAGGUUCGGGGAUCCGGAAUACUGGGGAAAUUACGUUGACUUCAUCAGCAUCUUCGUCAACAUUUCUGUUUUGAAGGAUCUCAAUAACUCCUUCAUCCAGCAUUUCUUGAACAUCUUUG